UUUCAGGGUCAUCAAUUACAUGAUCCGCCUGCUCAUUCAAUUCAUUUCAAACCUUUCCACUCCCUUUCCAAUUCAUUCAACUUCUCAAUUCCGCCUCCUUCACUUCCAAAAACCUCCCAAAACGCAUUCUCAAAUAAAAACCCUAGCAUCGAAGAAUCUCCACCGUUGACCACAGUCCCGGCGAAAGUAGAGUCCAGUUUUUUCAAACAGAACGUGAACGAAGACAAAUUUCCGCCGCUAACCACAUCCCUGCCGCUUGCUUCAACCGACCAUAAAUUAGAUAAAUGGCUAAACGACGAGUAAUGUUGAACACCACAGAGCCUGGUGUCAAAGAAUCUUCGUGAAUUGGUGUGUGUGAAAACCGCCAUAUUCAGAGGAAGGAACAAAUCAGUAGGGCGAUCGAACGGAUCAAGAAAAGAAGGCAAAAACUGCGGCAUUGGGUUGAUCAAGUCAAAAUCAAGCGAAGCCAGCAGGAGUUAUGCAUUGGGAGAUAGAGCUAAAGACCCCACCACCAAUUGUGAAGGGCAGGAACAACAUUUCAAAGAGGAUGGUACCCUAGGGAUCAGCGCCCUACGCCUCUCUAUAUAAAGGAAGGCCGAGACAAGAAAAAGUGGAGUCCCGGCCAGUGGUGAAAGGGGGUUCUCAUAAGCUUUCUUAGUUAGAAUAUCUUUAGGAAUUCAGCUCUCUUCUAGGGUUGAAAUCGGAGCUUUUUUCACUUCAUCUUCUUGAUUUCGUUGCACACACACACUUGGUCUUGUUCUAGUUUAGUUUAGCUGGUAGUUUGGUGGUAGUUUCCUGUACUUUUAAUCGUUCUGUUCUUGCUAUUCCACUCCUAGAAGGGGUGAUGAAAUAAUUUACAACUUUCUUAGUUCAUUUUUAGUUUGCUUUUGAUGUUAAUGACUCUUGAUGUUUUGAUUUAGUAAAUCUGAAGCCAUGUUUUGAUUUUUA